UUAACACAUGCAAGUCGAAGGGUAUGCUUCUUCGGGAGCAGAGACCGGCGCACGGGUGCGUAACGCGUAUGCAAUCUACCUUUUACAGAGGGAUAGCCCAGAGAAAUUUGGAUUAAUACCUCAUAGUAUAUAGAGUUGGCAUCAACACUAUAUUAAAGUCACAACGGUAAAAGAUGAGCAUGCGUCCCAUUAGCUAGUUGGUAAGGUAACGGCUUACCAAGGCUACGAUGGGUAGGGGUCCUGAGAGGGAGAUCCCCCACACUGGUACUGAGACACGGACCAGACUCCUACGGGAGGCAGCAGUGAGGAAUAUUGGACAAUGGGCGCAAGCCUGAUCCAGCCAUGCCGCGUGCAGGAUGACGGUCCUAUGGAUUGUAAACUGCUUUUGUACAGGAAGAAACACUGGCUCGUGAGCCAGCUUGACGGUACUGUAAGAAUAAGGAUCGGCUAACUCCGUGCCAGCAGCCGCGGUAAUACGGAGGAUCCAAGCGUUAUCCGGAAUCAUUGGGUUUAAAGGGUCCGUAGGCGGUUUAAUAAGUCAGUGGUGAAAGCCCAUCGCUCAACGGUGGAACGGCCAUUGAUACUGUUAAACUUGAAUUAUUAGGAAGUAACUAGAAUAUGUAGUGUAGCGGUGAAAUGCUUAGAGAUUACAUGGAAUACCAAUUACGAAGGCAGGUUACUACUAAUUGAUUGACGCUGAUGGACGAAA
rnacentral:rRNA from 1 species